CUCUCUCUCUCGACAUAUAAACAAGUAUCACACUCUGCUUCGUGAAUUGAUAAAUCAAUUCCUAGAUUUCCUAUAAUCAAAAUCGACGAGAACAAUCCGAUCGACAUUCUUCUUCGUCUCUCGUUUCUUCUUCUUUUGUCUUGGAUUAAACAGUCGAGGAAACAGACUUUGUGGUUCCUCUUCUUCUUCGUCUCUCUCUUUUGGCUUCCUUUCAGUUUUGGAUCUGUCUCUCCUUCGUCCUCAUGGUGGUGCUCCUGCUUCCUCUUUUCUCUUCAAGUUUAAGUAGUCUGGUGAUGUGAGUCAAAGCCAUUCCCUUUUAACCUGUUUGAAGUUUGCACAAAUCCCUAUUUCCUCCUAAAGCUACUGAGAGAGAUGUUUAUGAGUUCUUCUCCUAAGCGGGCAAGCGACUACUUUGACAAGUUGGCAUCUUUUGGUCACAUUUUGUUCCCUUCAUGUGGCAUUAUGGAUGAAGAUGUUCGAGCACAAGCCUUUUGAUCCACGAGCUGUGAUGGGGUUUGGCAUAUUGAAUGGGAUAUCCAUAGGACUAUUGAGCCUGGGCUUUAUUUAUAUCGUUGAUGUGGAGGAACUAUGGUCAAUGUCUGAAAUUAUACAAUGGUUUGAAUUGUUGAAACUGGUUUUGGUUUGUGAUUGUUGUGCAAUGAGAGGAUGUUUGAGAGUUAGAUGGAAAAUGGUUUUAUUUUGUUUGAUUGUUGCUUGUAAAACAAGUUCUCUGAUUUUUUUAAACCAUUUGACACCCAAAGAUGACUAAUGGGAGGACAAAAAAUAAAAACAAGGAUGUGAAGUUCUAAGCUUA